rnacentral:RNase_P_RNA from 1 species
AGUAAACCGGGCAGUCGCGGGCAACGGGCGAAAGCCCCUGUCCGAGGAAAGUCCGGGCUUCACAGAGCGAGGAUAACGGCUAACGGCCGCCGGGGGCGACCCCAGGGAAAGUGCAACAGAAAAUAACUGCAUUCCUCUGCCGGAAUUUGGCGGGGGAGUGCGAUGGUGGAAAGGUGAGGUAAGAGCUCACCGGGGCGGCGGAGACGUCGCCGCCGUGUAAACCCUAUCCGAAGCAACACCGUGGAGGGACAUCAGCUUGCUCGGCUGUCCCGUGGAGGUGGCACCGAGCCGUCGCGGCAACGCGCGGCCAAGAUAGAUGACUGCCUAAUACAGAACCCGGCUUACAGGUUUACUCGA